UAAUACAUCGGAACGUGUCCUUAAGUGGGGGAUAACGCAUCGAAAGAUGUGCUAAUACCGCAUAUCUCUCAGGAGGAAAGCAGGGGAUCGAAAGACCUUGCGCUAAAGGAGCGGCUGAUGUCUGAUUAGCUAGUUGGUGGGGUAAAGGCUUACCAAGGCAACGAUCAGUAUCUGGUCUGAGAGGACGACCAGCCACACUGGGACUGAGACACGGCCCAGACUCCUACGGAGGCAGCAGUGGGGAAUUUUGGACAAUGGGCGAAAGCCUGAUCCAGCCAUGCCGCGUGAGUGAAGAAGGCCUUCGGGUUGUAAAGCUCUUUUAGUCGGAAAGAAAGAGUCAUAGUAAAUAGCUAUGAUUUAUGACGGUACCGACAGAAAAAGCACCGGCUAACUACGUGCCAGCAGCCGCGGUAAUACGUAG
rnacentral:rRNA from 1 species